CUUAACUUUACUGUUCAAAAUGUCCAUAACCAUUGGACAACAAGCUACGCAAACGCUCGAGACAAGCAUGGGAUCGAUUAAUCGAAAGGUUGCUGGACAGAAGCUGUAAAGGGAUCUCGAAUCGAUAAGAGAGCAGCAGAAUAAGGACAUUUUCGAGUAAGAAGAAGGUCCUCCACAUAGUUCCAAGCUGGCAGAUUAGCUACAAGCAGAAUAGCCGGAAUCAUGGACACCGUGAGACGACCUCUUUUGAAAGCGACUAUGUUUGAGAAUAUACAGUGCCACUAAUUUUAAAUUCUUUUGUUCCAAAAAAUUGUAAGACGUCGUUGAAAUAUGUACAAAUAAAC